AGGUUCCAAAGUACUGGUACGGCGAGCUCAUGGGAUUCCUCUUCCUCAGAAAGAUUCCUGAUGGGACCCUGAAAAUUUCCAACUGCAUUCACAGGUGACCUCUUACCUGUCCUUCCCACGAAGACAGCCCCAACAUACGAGGGUGGUUCGUGACUUUGAAUCAAGAGGCAGAGUCUGGCAGUGCGUCCGCAACCAGCGGUCGGCCUCAGACCCAGAGAUGCUUGCUGCCAGGUAUUAAUGAUGAGCCGGCUGGCUGCUCCAUGGAGCCAAGCCGGGGAUGCCGGCAUGGCCUCGGCCUGGCCUGUCACCAUCACCCUCAUCCACCAUCUGGAGAAGAACGUGAUGGCUUUUCCAGGCCCCUUUACGUCUCAGGAAGAGAUUAGCACAGACCUCCAACCAAUCAGUCACAAGGCGGCAGAGGAGAGGGCGCCAUUUGCUGGGUUGCUGACAAUACACAGUGCUCAAUUUCCUACACCAGUUGAUGCUGCUGCCAUCCGUAUGGCCUGACAGUCUCUUUUCGUCUGCCUAGUCUUGUCGCUCUGAAGCCCUCCAAGGAGAUGGAUGCAUCCAGUUGGAUUCCAGAGUUCACCAGGAGGGCGCUGUCCAUCAGCCUAUCAGCCAGUAUCCAGGGGAUGGAGACCCGAGAUGGCCUCGAUGGUGUCCUGGGAGCACUAACCAAGGAGUCCCGAGACAGCUCUCAGCUCUGCCAGGUCGGGUGACGCACGGUGUGAUUUUGAGAUCAAUGAUAUCCCUGCCAAGUCAUCAUUACACGUGACUCCUGCCAGUGUUAAGUUACAGGUAGUUAUCGCUGAGUUUUGUCUCCAAAUAAUCAUGGGAUUAUUUGUUUUGUUUGGGCUCAGAAGCCCUACAUCUAUCGAUGCCUUUCUGGCGGGGGACAAAAAGAGCGUGCAUUUAAGAAGACAGAGCCAAGGUGAUUUAUAUGCAGAAGAACUCUUCAGGCUGUCAAAGGCCUGUCAGAGGCUUCCUUGAAGAAGACUUUAACCAGCCCCUUCACCUUCUCAGAGGUGAGUUAUACUGGCCCAUGGUAGCUGUCAGAGAAUACAAUCUUCCAGGCUUAAGACAAGAACCAGCUGGCAGAGUGAUGUGCUGAGAACCGCAGCUACAGAUGUGGUUUCAGGGAGGGGAGUUAUGAUUCAGCAUUCUAGACUACUCUAGCUGUGGAAGGUGGGGUGUGCCCAUUUACACCCCACUGAGAAGAUGGAGCACACCUCCUGGGCCUUGCUAACAAGAACCAGGGCCUAGGAAACAAAAAGGGGCCUUUCUUAAUCCGACAAUACCCCUGCCUGUCUAGGGAGCUGGCCAGAAGACCGGACCACCUUGGACACAUUGGCUAUAUGAUUCUGGGCAGGCCUCUUGACUUAUCAAUGGUGCCAGACUCAGAAAGAAAGAGAGGCCUCCAAACCCACACAUAAGGAUUCCUACAGGCCCAUAUUGACUCAGAAAGCCUCAUGUUAGCAUUAUCUAUGUUCUAUUGAAUUUUUGCUUAUUUUGGUCACUAUUUCCCAUCACAUUUUAAUCUGCUUCUGUCUGCACUUAGGAGUGUUGGGGAUAAAAUGCCUCUACAGGGUUAUGCAUUUGACAUCUCUGCUCUAGAAAAAUGGGACACUCUAAGUCUACCAUUUGGAGAGAAGGGGCCGACCUACAGUGAUAGAGGGAGUUCCCUCACCCACUAAUUUCAUCACAGAUUCAAACCAUAUCCCUCUCCUUAAAACAUGGAGUCGCUCACUCAGAUGGAAACAUCUCAUUUCUUUUAUAAAGCUUCGCCUUUUUUAAUCGUUGAAAAUGCUCUCUCAAUACUGGUAAGAGAUGUACCCCCAAGACAUUUUAUAAUGUGCAGACCUAUGAGAUUAUUUCAUCACUUACACGGUGGUGGGGAGAUAUUUAUAAGGAGUACAGAUCCUCCCAGAAGGGUUCAAAGGAAUGGAGUGUCUACCCACAGCACUCGGUUGAAGGAAAGUUAAGUGAAAGAAGAAUGUAAGCUCCUUGAGGGCAGGGAAUCUUAAUUUUUGUCUUCAUAUCCCCAGUCUAGGAUUGUGCCUGGUACAUCAUAGGAGUGUAGUAAAGGCUUGUUGUUCACCCACUUGCUUGAUUGAUUGAAAGGUUUCAGAGUUGGAAGACCGAGCCUCAGUUUCCCUGACUCAGCAGAUCCCGCUUUAAUAAUGCAGCCCCAUUCUUCCACAUUUUUCCUAAUGUUAUUCGAGUGCUCUAAUAUAAUUUGGUAAGCUAUUAGAGUUGUUACAGCUGCAUGUUUCACCCUCACUGCUGAUUUCACUUAUGACCUCAGUCAGAAUAAGAUUUAAAAGUUCGAGAUGAUGUAAGUGAAUAAGGAUUAUUAGAUUUAUUCAUAUAGCAAUUUAAAUAAGAAACUGCCUGGCCUAGAAUAAGUGGUAAAUGAAAAAUGCCUAUGAUUUAUAGACCUGUCCAUUCAAAAGAUUUAUACGCUGUAUAGGAUGAUUAAGUAAGAGACAGACCUGAUUAUAUGAAAUAUGUAAUUUUUGUAAUGCAAUUUUGGAAGCAAGCUGCUAACCAGCCCUGGCACACCAAGCCAGCGUGAAGGCCUCCUUCUGACCCCUGCCUUGCACCGCUGCUCACUGGUGGACUCGUGCUAGAAGAGGAUGCAGAGUUUUCUCCCCAUUUCCCUUUUACUGAGCCAGUCAGUGGUAGCACAUCCCCGGGCAAUUAUGUGAACUUCAUUCACAGCAAAUCA